rnacentral:rRNA from 1 species
UACGUAGGGGGCGAGCGUUGUCCGGAAUUAUUGGGCGUAAAGAGCUCGUAGGCGGCUUAGUAAGUCGGCGGUGAAAUACCGAGGCUCAACCUCGGCACUGCCGUCGAUACUGCUAUGGCUAGAGUUUGGUAGAGGAGAACGGAUUCCCGGUGUAGCGGUAGGAAUGCGCAGAUAUCGGGAGGAACACCCCGUAGCGAAGGCGGUUCUCUGG